GGGGAUUUAGCUCAGCGGUAGAGCACUUGCCUAGCAAGCACAAGGCCCUGGGUUUGAUCCCCAGCUCCA
rnacentral:tRNA from 1 species